ACAGAUUUUGCAGGUUUGUCCCUUAUUGUUUUAAAACCCUGAAACCACCAUAAGGUGAAAUUUAAGCCAAGCCUAAUAGAGAAUGGAAGGUUAACUAUAGGAAAACCAAGGAGCUCCUGCUCAUAGCCAAAUGAAAUAGCAAAAACUUUGAUUGAUACCAUGUCAGAACCUCCAGCUUGAGUGUAGUCAUCAAAAGACUGCAGCCACAUGAGUGAUCUCAGGAAGAACCAGCAGAAGAACUUCCCACACUGCUAAGGCACAAUGUUUGGACCAGCCCAGGAUCCCUCACUCACA
rnacentral:lncRNA from 10 species